GUGGGGAAGAUCCCCUGGAGAAGGACAUGACAACCCACUCCAGUAUCCUUGCCUGGACAAUCCCACAGAUAGAGGAGCCUGGCGGGCUACCGUCCGUGGGGUCGCAGAGAGUCAGGCACAACAGAGAUUCUUACUCGCCGUAUCUGAAGCAGCGGCCCCAAAAUUCUGCAUUUCCCUCCCCUCCGAGGUGAUACCGGUGCUCUGGGUCCAUGGACCACAGAUUUUGAGUGGCAGGUGCAUUGAAACGAAAUCUCCUGGAUUGAGAACCUAGCCCUGGAUUUGUUAUUCAGAUCCCCAGGUCACGUUACCAUGUAGUCAGGGUUGCAAAACAAGAGACUGCAGCUUCCGUGGUGUCUCAGCAGUAACGAAGCCGCCCGCCAAUGCAGGAGACACGGGCUCGAUCCCUGGUCCGGGAAGAUUCCCACGUGCCAUGGGGCAACGAAUCCCGGAAGCCGCAGCUACUGAAACCCUCGCGCCCUAGGAGGCCACAGUGCUCCACAAGAGAAGCCACCGCCGUGAGGAGUCCACACACCGCAACCAGAGAAGACCAAGGGCGGAAGAGCAGGCCACACAGAACUGAAGCCGCCUGAUCUCUCUGCAGCUAAAUGGCGCUGGGCUCAAAAAGGCAGGGCCGUCCAAAAACUCUGUCCUUCCGGAAAGAAGUGACUUCUUGUCCACGGCUGCCAGCGCUGCAGCAGAACGUGAAGAAACGGGUUUGCACAGGCUGUCUUGCGGAGAAACUACACAUGGAGAAAGGUCCUUUGAUUCUUUGAAAAGGAAGGCAACUUGGAUCCACCAUAGCUUUCUGGUUACAUCCUGAAAUGAUGGGUUCCUGUUGUUCCAUUUUCUCAAAUGCUUCCACGGUGGUGUAUGUUAGUGACUCUUGGAAGACGCAGCAGAUGAAAAAAGGCUGUAGCAACAGUCACAUGAAAGUUGCAAGCCUACUCCUGCAAAAGUUUCUAUUCUAAUCCCCUGCAAGAUGGGGGAGAGCCAGGUGGUUUCAUCUCUGUCACAGAGGGAUUUUCUUUUUCACUGACACAACCAACCAUUGAAAUCAAUCAUCUUCUAGCACAAGGCGUCCUUUGAAGGUGGGACAAGCUUUGUUGGUUUCCCAGUGUUGUGAUGGUGAAUUUUUCUCGACAGUCCCUUUGGGGGUAGAGAGCAAAUUUGGCAGGUGCUGCCCAUACAUUAAUUAAUAUGUGAGUUCAUUCACUGCAAAUCAAUAAAUGAAUGCAUUCAGGGCAAAGAGGAGUACCUGCCAAUGUUAUCCAUCUCAAGGGUUUUAACAACUGUGUUUACCUUGGCAACAAACUGCAAUUAUUUUUCUGGGGAAAUUUUUGUUCCUUAAAGAGAUAAUUUCCAGACUCUUUCCAUGCAAGCUUUUUUUUUUUUUUAACUUUGUUGAGUCUUCAUUGCCAGUCGUGGUGAGCGGGGGCUACUCUCCAGCUGGGGUUGGCAGGCUUAUCAUUGCUGUGGUUUCUCUCGUUGUGGAGCAGAGGGUCUAGGUACUCCUCUUGUCAGGACCCCAGUCCUAUGGGAUCAGGGCCCACCCCAGUGACCUCAUUCCACCUUCAUCCCCGCUUCGAAGACUCUCAUCUCCUAAUACAGCCUCAUUCUCAGGCCCUGAGGGUCAGAGCUUCAAGGUAAGGAUUUUGCAGGGGACAGAAUUCAGCCCACAGUAAGCUUCUUCUCUAUAAACAUUAUGGUCCUUGGCCCAUUUAUUUUUUUAAACAAUUUUUGGCUGCACCAAAGGGAUCUUGACUUCUCUGGUGGUUCAGUGGUUAAAAAAAAAAAAAAAAGAAUCCGCCUGCCAAUGCAGGAGAUGC